GGUGUAGCUCAGUGGUAAAACGAAUGUUUUUCAUGCAUGAGAAGCUGGGUUCAAUCCCCAGCACC
rnacentral:tRNA from 1 species